GAUGAACGCUGGCGGCGUGCUUAACACAUGCAAGUCGAACGGAAAGGCCCAAGCUUGCUUGGGUACUCGAGUGGCGAACGGGUGAGUAACACGUGGGUGAUCUGCCCUGCACUUCGGGAUAAGCCUGGGAAACUGGGUCUAAUACCGGAUAGGACCACUUCUUGGAUGUUGUGGUGGAAAGUUUUUUCGGUGUGGGAUGAGCUCUCGGCCUAUCAGCUUGUUGGGGGGGUAAUGGCCUACCAAGGCGUCGCCGGGUAGCCGGCCUGAGAGGGUGUACGGCCACAUUGGGACUGAGAGACGGCCCAGACUCCGACGGGAGGCAGCAGUGGGGAAUAUUGCACAAUGGGCGCAAGCCUGAUGCAGCGACGCCGCGUGGGGGAUGAUGGCCUUCGGGUUGUAAACUCCGUUCGCUAGGGACGAAGCGUUUUGUGACGGUACCUGGAGAAGAAGCACCGGCUAACUACGUG
rnacentral:rRNA from 1 species